rnacentral:rRNA from 1 species
GUCAGUGCCGAUAGCGCUCAGGUCCCACCUGUUCCCAUUCCGAACACAGCAGUUAAACUGAGCAGCGCCGAAAAUACUUGUCUGGAGACGGACCGGGAAGAUAGGGAGGUGCUGGCU